GUGGCUCAGUGGUAGAGCGCUUGGCUUGCGUUCAUGAGGCUCUGGGUUCGAUUCCUCAGC
rnacentral:tRNA from 1 species